UAAGAGGUCCCGCCUGCCCUGUGACUAUACGUUUAACGGCCGCGGUAUUUUGACCGUGCGAAGGUAGCGCAAUCACUUGUCUCUUAAAUGGGGACCUGUAUGAAUGGCAUAACGAGGGUUUAACUGUCUCCUUUUCCAAGUUAAUGAAAUUGAUCUCCCCGUGCAGAAGCGGGGAUACAAACAUAAGACGAGAAGACCCUAUGGAGCUUUAGGCAGCAAACAGAUCGUACUAAAUACCCCCUAAUAAAGGAACAAAGCAUACGAAACCUGGCCCAAUGCCUUUGGUUGGGGCGACCGCGGGGAAACAAAAAACCCCCAUGUGGAACGGGACUACCCAUCCUCCAAACAAGAGCCCCCGCUCUAAAAAACAGAACAUCUGACCUACAAGAUCCGGCAGAGCCGAUCAACGAACCGAGUUACCCUAGGGAUAACAGCGCAAUCCCCUUAUAGAGCCCAUAUCGACAAGGGGGUUUACGACCUCGAUGUUGGAUCAGGAUAUCCUAAUGGUGCAGCCGCUAUUAAGGG
rnacentral:rRNA from 1 species